rnacentral:rRNA from 1 species
UACGUAGGGUGCAAGCGUUAAUCGGAAUUACUGGGCGUAAAGAGCUCGUAGGCGGUUUGUCGCGUCUGCCGUGAAAGUCCGGGGCUUAACUCCGGAUCUGCGGUGGGUACGGGCAGACUUGAGUGAUGUAGGGGAGACUGGAAUUCCUGGUGUAGCGGUGAAAUGCGCAGAUAUCAGGAGGAACACCGAUGGCGAAGGCAUGUCUCUGGGCAUUAACUGACGCUGAGGAGCGAAAGCAUGGGGAGCGAACAGG